rnacentral:rRNA from 1 species
ACGGGUGAGUAACACGUGAGCAACCUGCCCUGGACUCUGGGAUAAGCGCUGGAAACGGCGUCUAAUACUGGAUAUGAGCCCCUAUCGCAUGGUGGGGGUUGGAAAGAUUUUUUGGUCUGGGAUGGGCUCGCGGCCUAUCAGCUUGUUGGUGAGGUAAUGGCUCACCAAGGCGUCGACGGGUAGCCGGCCUGAGAGGGUGACCGGCCACACUGGGACUGAGACACGGCCCAGACUCCUACGGGAGGCAGCAGUGGGGAAUAUUGCACAAUGGGCGAAAGCCUGAUGCAGCAACGCCGCGUGAGGGAUGACGGCCUUCGGGUUGUAAACCUCUUUUAGCAGGGAAGAAGCGAAAGUGACGGUACCUGCAGAAAAAGCGCCGGCUAACUACGUGCCAGCAGCCGCGGUAAUACGUAGGGCGCAAGCGUUAUCCGGAAUUAUUGGGCGUAAAGAGCUCGUAGCGGUUUGUCGCGUCUGCUGUGAAAUCCCGAGGCUCAACCUCGGGCCUGCAGUGGGUACGGGCAGACUAGAGUGCGGUAGGGGA